UGGCGGCGUGCUUAACACAUGCAAGUCGAACGAUGAACCACUUCGGUGGGGAUUAGUGGCGAACGGGUGAGUAACACGUGGGCAAUCUGCCCUGCACUCUGGGACAAGCCCUGGAAACGGGGUCUAAUACCGGAUACUGACCCGCUUGGGCAUCCAAGCGGUUCGAAAGCUCCGGCGGUGCAGGAUGAGCCCGCGGCCUAUCAGCUUGUUGGUGAGGUAAUGGCUCACCAAGGCGACGACGGGUAGCCGGCCUGAGAGGGCGACCGGCCACACUGGGACUGAGACACGGCCCAGACUCCUACGGGAGGCAGCAGUGGGGAAUAUUGCACAAUGGGCGAAAGCCUGAUGCAGCGACGCCGCGUGAGGGAUGACGGCCUUCGGGUUGUAAACCUCUUUCAGCAGGGAAGAAGCGAAAGUGACGGUACCUGCAGAAGAAGCGCCGGCUAACUACGUGCCAGCAGCCGCGGUAAUACGUAGGGCGCGAGCGUUGUCCGGAAUUAUUGGGCGUAAAGAGCUCGUAGGCGGCUUGUCACGUCGGUUGUGAAAGCCCGGGGCUUAACCCCGGGUCUGCAGUCGAUACGGGCAGGCUAGAGUUCGGUAGGGGAGAUCGGAAUUCCUGGUGUAGCGGUGAAAUGCGCAGAUAUCAGGAGGAACACCGGUGGCGAAGGCGGAUCUCUGGGCCGAUACUGACGCUGAGGAGCGAAAGCGUGGGGAGCGAACAGGAUUAGAUACCCUGGUAGUCCACGCCGUAAACGGUGGGCACUAGGUGUGGGCGACAUUCCACGUCGUCCGUGCCGCAGCUAACGCAUUAAGUGCCCCGCCUGGGGAG
rnacentral:rRNA from 1 species